ensembl:lncRNA
CAGACCGAAGGACUGCCAGUGCUGUGCAUUUUGCUAGAGGAAGCGGGAUUAUGGGUACAGUUGGAGAGACCGAAGUAGACGGACCAGCAAUGGCAGAGGGCACAGGUCUGGUGAUGGUAGAGGGCACAGGUCUGCUGAUGGCAGAGGGCACAGGUCUGGUGAUGGUAGAGGUGGCGAGGUUCUUCUCACCGGCAUUGGAGGCAGUGGCAGCGGGGUUUGUUAUUUUGAGAGUGACGUCAAUCAUUGCACUGUAUUUCAUUCUAGCAGACACACACAGCUACUCACAAACAUAUAUACACACACACACAGACAAACACACAAUCACACACAAUCACACAAACACACA